rnacentral:misc_RNA from 1 species
GAAAUGCGAUAAGUAAUGUGAAUUGCAGAAUUCAGUGAAUCAUCGAAUCUUUGAACGCACCUUGCGCUCCUUGGUAUUCCUUGGAGCAUGCCUGUUUGAGUAUCAUGAAAUCUUCAAAGUAAAUCUUUUGUUAACUCAAUUGGUUUCUACUUUGGUAUUGGAGGUCUUUGCAGCUUCACACCUGCUCCUCUUUGUUCAUUAGCUGGAUCUCAGUGUUAUGCUUGGUUCCACUCGGCGUGAUAAGUUAUCUAUCGCUGAGGACACUGUAAAAGGUGGCCAAGGUAAAUGCAGAUGAACCGCUUCUAAUAGUCCAUUGACUUGGACAAUACUUUUAUGAUCUGAUCUCAAAUCAGGUAGGACUACCCGCUGAACUGAAG